UCUGGCUGUAUAAAUACCACUCCUACGUCCCCUUUCUCCUCACCCUCUCGCCAUAUUUCUUCUUCCUCUCUUCCUCUGAUCUGCUCCUUCCUCUCUUUACCUAUGCACGUGCAGAAGAAUCCGUCAAGCUCAGGAGGGAUAGCGCCACGGUUGAACCUCACCCUUCCUCUGUGUCGUCGUUCUCCUCCUUGCGCUAUCCAUCCUGAGUUUCAUGGUUUCUUCAUGCUCUCUCCCUUUCUUCUUCCUCGUCACAUCCUCUAGAAGUUGAAGACGAUUUCACUUUCAGGGGACUGUUCAUCCAACAACUGGGCCUGCAUAUACUGCUUGCACCUUUUUGGAGGAGCUGCUUGGCGUCGUCUUCAUUCAGUGAGCAAUAAAAUAAUUGAAUAAUAAAAUGAAAAUGGAUGGUCGUCACGUGGGUUGAUCGGGGAAGAGAUAUGUGAUAUACUAUCUGUUGAAUUGCUUGCUGAUUGUUGACUUAGACUGCCCCGAGUCCCAACUUCGUGUACGUCACGCCAUGACACUGCGUUUCUCAAUUAUUUACUUUCCCUCACUUCAACCUCUCCAGCCCCUUCCUUCUCCUCUAACCUUUAUUAAACACCAAAUCAGAUAUUGAACUCUUCAAUAUAUAUUAAAUUGGUUAUAAAUAAAAUAUUUUAAUUUAUCAA